rnacentral:rRNA from 1 species
CAAUAGCGUAUAUUAAAGUUGUUGCAGUUAGAACGCUCGUAGUCGGAUUUCGGGGCGGGCCGACCGGUCUGCCGAUGGGUACGCACUGGUCGGCGCGUCCUUCCUUCCGGAGACCGUGCCUACUCUUAACUGAGCGGGGGCGGGAGACGGAAUUUUUACUUUGAAAAAAUCAGAGUGUUUCAAGCAGGCAGCUCGCUCUUGCAUGGAUUAGCAUGGGAUAAUGAAAUAGGACUUUGGUGCUAUUUUGUUGGUUUCGAACACCGAAGUAAUGAUGAGAAGGGACAGUCAGGGGCACUCGUAUUCCGCCGAGAGAGGUGAAAUUCUCAGACCAGCGGAAGACGAACCACUGCGAAAGCAUUUGCCAGGGAUGUUUUCACUGA